UAGGGAAUAUUGCGCAAUGGACGAAAGUCUGACGCAGCGACGCCGCGUGAGGGAUGAAGGCCUUCGGGUCGUAAACCUCUGUCAGGAGGGAAGAAAGCUCAUGGUGCCAAUCAGCCAUGAGUUGACGGUACCUCCAAAGGAAGCGCCGGCUAACUCCGUGCCAGCAGCCGCGGUAAUACGGAGGGCGCAAGCGUUAAUCGGAAUCACUGGGCGUAAAGGGCGCGUAGGUUGUUGUGUAAGUCAGAGGUGAAAGCCCACAGCUUAACUGUGGAAUUGCCUUUGAAACUGUGCAACUUGAAUCCAGGAGAGGGUGGCGGAAUUCCAGGUGUAGGAGUGAAAUCCGUAGAUAUCUGGAGGAACACCAGCGGCGAAGGCGGCCACCUGGCCUGGCAUUGACACUGAGGCGCGAAAGCGUGGGGAGCAAACAGG
rnacentral:rRNA from 1 species